UCCCUGGUGGCCUAGUGGUUAAGGACUCAGCAUUGUCAUUGCUGUGGCACAGGUUCAAUCCCUGGCCUGGGAA
rfam:Sus scrofa chromosome 6.